rnacentral:rRNA from 1 species
AUAGAGACUCAGAGCUGCAUAUCAAUAAGCGGAGGAAAAGAAACUAACAAGGAUUCCCUUAGUAACGGCGAGUGAAGCGGGAAGAGCUCAAAUUUGAAAUCUUCAAGGUUCUACCUUGACGAAUUGUAGUUUAAAGAAGUGUUUUCUGUUAGAUGAGUAGCAAAAGUUCCUUGGAAUGGGACAUCAUAGAGGGUGAGAAUCCCGUAUUUGGUUAUUCAUUCUAGCUUUGUGAUACACUUUCAAAGAGUCGGAUUGUUUGGGAAUGCAGUCCAAAAUGGGUGGUAAAUUUCAUCUAAAGCUAAAUAUUGGCGAGAGACCGAUAGCGAACAAGUACCGUGAGGGAAAGAUGAAAAGAACUUUGAAAAGAGAGUUAAACAGUACGUGAAAUUGUCAAAAGGGAAGCGUUUGACACCAGUGUUGUUUUUCCGAAAAUCAAUUACGAAUGGCUUGAUUCUGUGUUGUAUUGACCUUAUCAGCUUUCUUCACUUUUUUCGAGUCUUUCUUAAUGCACUUUUCGGUUAACAAGUCAACAUCAAUUUCUUUUGUUGUAAAAGAGUCAUUCGGAAGGUGGCUUUCAUUUCGGAUGAAAGUGUUUAUAGCCUUUUACCGCUGCAAUCGAAGAGACUGAGGUCUGCAGCGUAGAUCCUUCGGGGUUAGAUACAUUUGUGCUAAGCUAUAGCCUUGUAUAGACAACUUGUUGACUAUGCUCAGUCAUGUAGCUUACUCACUUAUGCUAUUUUACCUACGCUUAGGAUGUUGAAGUCAUCGUAUCGCGC